UAUACUUGGGUGAGAGUGGUC
rnacentral:misc_RNA from 1 species